AUGUUUUCCACCAACUUGGACAAGGGAACUCUGAAUCCUGAGGUGCAGAAUGAGGACAUCUCUGACAGUGUGGCAGGGCUGCAUAACAAGUGUCAGCAGUGCCACACUCUACCAGGGAGCACCCCACCUGAAGUACAACGUGGAGGAAAAGCUUCACAAGACUCUUGUAUAUGUAACUUCUUCAUAUGGAAAAAAAAAAUUCUGGUAGUCAGGACACACCAGAGAAUUCCAAUGUGUCUGACCUCCUCAGCUCGAAGGAAGCUUUCCCUUCCCCUGCUGGAGAUAGCUGGAUUUGUAGGACUUGGAUGAGAUAGAAGGAAUUACCUAUGCUAUUGGUUACCACUGUGGUUUGAGGAGAGGGUGAAUUGCACCCCACAUCUGAUGCAGCUGGGUAGUCAUGAAGCCUCAAAUUGCCUCCAGAUGAUGUUGGAAUCCUUUAUACUCAGCAAUUCACAAUUAAGAUUGAUCACUGGGUGUUAUUCUGUAUGUUGGCAAAUUGAACACCAAUAAAAAAUAAAUUUAUUAUUAAACA
rnacentral:lncRNA from 12 species